CUUGCGCGUUUGAGCGGAACUAUUUAACAGACUCACACCAGCCCAUCGGGAGAGCGGAAGUGCAGGACCAGGGACGCCGCACGCGGACGCGGUUGGGGGCUCUCACCAAACACACGGCAGUGGAGAAGCGGAGCGGAGCGCUGACUGGGAAUGACUCGCGCUGACUGAACUGGGAUUCGAAGGAAUCGAGUGGCCGCUGGUUGAAUCACUGAUCGAGAAGGUGAAUCGGUGAGGCUGCGCUGGCUGGGGGAAGGGUGUGGAUUCGACUCACCCUUCCACAAAGUUGAGUUUAUAUUCUGAGUCAGUUCUGAACAAGUUGCUGUCUGUGGGAAACGGGGCGGCUUUCUGUUCAUGUUAGUGUUUGCCCUGUGUCUGCUGCAGCGCGCUGGGAAGCCACGUGUGUAUGAGAACGUGAGAGACUCUAUUGCAGCGGCGUUUGUCUGCUCCAAGAGGCGUUGUGAGGAGAAGGAAGGGUGAGAACGAUCACCCUUCCCUAAGUUAAGUGCUAUUUCUCCCCAUAUUUUGAGAAUUCUACUCUUGGCUCACCACUAAUAUUAGUUUAAUGGUGAAGCCAACAAAGGACUGAGUGGACUGUGGAUUGUUUUUACUUCCCUCCUUGAGCUGCUGCCAAGGUUUUGGACUUCUGCAUGGACUUUUGGAGUUCUACAAAAUCUUAUUUCUUAAUCUCUUUUAAGUAGAUCUUAUUUUUCCAUUGUUCAAUAAAUGAUUGUGAAACGUA